UACAGAGGGGGCAAGCGUUAUUCGGAAUUAUUGGGCCUAAAGCAUCCGUAGCCGGUUCUACAAGUCUUCCGUUAAAUCCACCUGCUUAACAGAUGGGCUGCGGAAGAUACUAUAGAGCUAGGAGGCGGGAGAGGCAAGCGGUACUCGAUGGGUAGGGGUAAAAUCCGUUGAUCCAUUGAAGACCACCAGUGGCGAAGGCGGCUUGCCAGAACGCGCUCGACGGUGAGGGAUGAAAGCUGGGGGAGCAAACCGG
rnacentral:rRNA from 1 species